AGAUCGUUGCACUAUAUCAUCUAGAAAAAAUCGAUCAAAUGUAUGUGCAAUAUAGUUUGGAAUGUGUGGAUAUGCGCUCGCGUUUGUUUUUCUGGCUACUCUUUCGCAGAGUGAAAAACUCUAAUUGAUUGAGCGCAUAAAAUUCAAUUGAUUGCUGAAUAAUGCAAAACGACUAAUGAAUGUUUAACCCAUUUCAAUCAGCGAGUUGUCAAAUCAAAGCGGAAAUAUUUUAUAAACAUAUUCACAAAAAAAAAAGCAAAGAGAAACUGAAAAGGGAAUAAAUAUUAAAGCAAAUUAAAUUGAGCUGGCAGCUGAGUUGCCACACCAACAACAACAACAACAACAACAACAAGAACAACAACUCGUUUGUGGUUGUGGGCGUCGUCGCAUGUUUCUUGUCAGCUCUCUCAUUGAUGGGUAAACAAAGCCAGCGCAACUAUGCAACGACAGACGACAAAGAUGCAUAAACAAAAUGCAACAAAAAGUACAAAUAAAAACAACAACAACAACAAUAGCUAUGCAGCACUUGAAGCCACUUGUGAAACAAAUGAAACAUACCAGAGGAGAGGAGGCCCCGCUGUGUGUGCCUGCCUGCCUGCCUGUCCCUCAGCGCGGGUCCGGAGUGUGUCGAGCGAACGAACGAGCGAACGAACGACUGAUUCCGGCAGCUCCAGAACGGAACUGUUAACUGAGAAUGACGUUGAGGCUGACGUUGGCAGUGAUAAGAGCCGGGGCGUGUGCAAUGCGCAUUUCACAGAUACAGAUGCAGAUACAGAUACAUUUACAGCUACAGCUGCAGAUACAUUUGCAGUUACUGUUACAGAUACAAAUAUGUGUGUGUGUUACACAAUUGUCACUCGUAAACGCCCCCCACCGAAGCCACAGCCCCGUUUGAACUGCUUAGAUUUAUGCACAGUUCCCGCCCUCCCGCUCUUCAGCCACAUGUCUAAUUAGUGCAUAAUAUAUAGUUUGGCAAUAUCUAAGCUGAUUGUCUGGUUGCACAGCUCGAGAUGCAGUGUCAGAUAGAUACAUCCUCUCGGUGCUCGACAGCACCAAGUGGCAUGCCUCAAAGAAUGUGCUUUUACAGCGCAGCUUCCGUCUCCCCCGCGUCAUACAAUCAAUAAAUAUUUCGCUUGAUAUUAAACAGCCCUUCGCUGGGAGCGGAGGCGGGGCACGAAUACAAAAAGAAAUCAAAAUACAAAUAAUGAAGAAUAAUGAACACAAAGGGCUCGCAACGAAGGCAGCCAAACAAAUUGGUUGCAAGCAUCGCCAGAUGGAGGCUGCCGCCUGUGGCAAGUAUCAAGUCUGGGCCAGUGUGUGCCGCGCGUGUGUGGCAUGUUUAUACUGGCAAGCUUUACGGCACGCAAAUGCUUCACAUCAAGAUACUUUUCGAAGGGCGUGUGUGCUUCGCAUCUUCCAAAUAUAUAUAUUUAUAUAUAUAUUUAGAACUGACAGCCUGGCAGCAUGCUGCGCCAAGCUGAAGGGAUUAUCAAUGGGCAAAGUCUUGCGAUCAAUGGAAAUCGAAAUGGUGGAAAUAAAAAAAAAAACAAGUGUUUAAUCAAGAGUUCUUCGAGAAGUGUUGGCAACUAUUUGAAGCAGCAGCAGGAAAUCAACGAAAUUGUCGUCACUCCAAUCAAGUGGAAAUUUGAUUAAAGCAGAGAAAAGAAAAAUUUAAUAUAUUUUCAAAACUCAAUAGCCGAACAACAACACAAAAAAAAAAGAAAGAAAGAAAAGUGUGCGAGUAUAUCAAAAAAGGUAACAGCAAAGGAAAUCAACACGCACGCACAUCAGCGAAUUUGUAGUUGUGCAAGGACAACAGAACAAAAAAAAAAAAACGAAACAAAAUUAAGGAAAACAACAACAAACGGUAGCAAACAUUAAAAGUCAGCGAAGUGUAAAAAAAAAAGGUGAAUACAGACAGCAAGACAGAGGCAAUACAAUUUAUAAAA